rnacentral:misc_RNA from 1 species
CGCACAUUGCGCCCACUAGUAUUCUGGUGGGCAUGCCUGUUCGAGCGUCAUUUCAACCCUUAAGCCUAGCUUAGUAUUGGGAGUCUACUGUACUGUAGUUCCUCAAAUCCAACGGCGGAUCUGUGGUGUCCUCUGAGCGUAGUAAAUUCUUUUCUCGCUUUUGUCAGGUGCCGCAGCCCCCAGCCGCUAAACCCCCCAAUUUUUAAUGGUUGACCUCGGAUCAGGUAGGAAUACCCGCUGAACUUAA